UGGGGAAUCUUGCGCAAUGGAGGCAACUCUGACGCAGCGACGCCGCGUGUGUGACGAAGGCCUUCGGGUCGUAAAGCACUGUCAGGCGGGAAGAAGGCCCGACUUCGAGUCGGGUGUUGACGGUACCGCCGAAGGAAGCACCGGCCAACUCCGUGCCAGCAGCCGCGGUAAGACGGAGGGUGCAAGCGUUGUUCGGAAUCAUUGGGCGUAAAGCGCGCGCAGGCGGCCCGAUGGGUCCGGUGUGAAGCCCCGGGGAUUAACUCCGGACGUGCAUCGGAAACUAUCGGGCUUGAGUCCGGGAGGGGCCUGUGGAAUUCCUGGUGUAGGGGUGAAAUCCGUAGAGAUCAGGAGGAACACCGGCGGCGAAAGCGACAGGCUGGACCGGGACUGACGCUGAGGCGCGAAAGCGCGGGUAGCGAACA
rnacentral:rRNA from 1 species